GACGAACGCUGGCGGCGUGCUUAACACAUGCAAGUCGAACGAAGAGCGACGGAAGCUUGCUUCUCUCAAUCUUAGUGGCGAACGGGUGAGUAACGCGUAAUCAACCUGCCCUUCAGAGGGGGACAACAGUUGGAAACGACUGCUAAUACCGCAUACGAUCUAACCUCGGCAUCGAGGAUAGAUGAAAGGUGGCCUCUACAUGUAAGCUAUCACUGAAGGAGGGGAUUGCGUCUGAUUAGCUAGUUGGAGGGGUAACGGCCCACCAAGGCGAUGAUCAGUAGCUGGUAGGAGAGGAUGAACGGCCACAUUGGGACUGAGACACGGCCCAGACUCCUACGGGAGGCAGCAGUGGGGAAUCUUCCGAAAUGGACGAAAGUCUGACGGAGCAACGCCGCGUGAGUGAUGACGGCCUUCGGGUUGUAAAGCUCUGUUAAUCGGGACGAAAGGCCUUCUUGCGAAUAGUGAGAAGGAUUGACGGUACCGGAAUAGAAAGCCACGGCUAACUACGUG
rnacentral:rRNA from 1 species